rnacentral:tRNA from 1 species
GCCGGAGUGUCGGAAUCGGCAGACGAGCCCGACUCAAAAUCGGGAGCCCGACAGGGCGUGUGGGUUCGAGUCCCACCUCCGGCACCA